rnacentral:rRNA from 1 species
AUUGAACGCUGGCGGCAUGCCUAAUACAUGCAAGUCGAACGCCGUGGCGCACGGGUGAGUAAUAUAUAGAUAAUCUUGCCUACACGGAGGAACAUCAGUUUACAACGACUGCUAAUACCUCAUAGUGUAGGAUGAGACUAUUUCGUAUCAGCUAGUUGGUAAGGUAAUGGCUUACCAAGGCUAUGACGCGUAACUGGUCGGAGGUGAUGAGCAGUCACAUUGGAACGGAGACACGGUGCAACCUCCGACGGGAAGCAGCAGUAAGGAAUAGUGCGCAAUGGGGGAAACUGUGACGACGCAUCGCCGCGUAGAAGAAAAUUCUUUUCGGAGCGUAAAGUCCUUUGAUCAGGAAAGCGGUACCUAAUGAAUAAGCAACGGCUAACUCCGUGCCAGCAGCCGCGGUAAUUC